rnacentral:misc_RNA from 1 species
GAUGAAGAACGUAGCGAAAUGCGAUAAGUAAUGUGAAUUGCAGAAUUCAGUGAAUCAUCGAAUCUUUGAACGCACAUUGCGCCCCUUGGUAUUCCGAGGGGCAUGCCUGUUCGAGCGUCAUUACACCACUCAAGCUAUGCUUGGUAUUGGGUGCCGUCCUUAGUUGGGCGCGCCUUAAAGACCUCGGCGAGGCCUCACCGGCUUUAGGCGUAGUAGAAUUUAUUCGAACGUCUGUCAAAGGAGAGGACUUCUGCCGACUGAAACCUUUUAUUUUUCUAGGUUGACCUCGGAUCAGGUAGGGAUACCCGCUGAACUUAAGCAUAUCAAUAAGCGGAGGA